rnacentral:rRNA from 1 species
GACGAAAGUCUGACCGAGCAACGCCGCGUGAGUGAAGAAGGUUUUCGGAUCGUAAAGCUCUGUUGUAAGUCAAGAACGUGUGUGAGAGUGGAAAGUUCACACAGUGACGGUAGCUUACCAGAAAGGGACGGCUAACUACGUGCCAGCAGCCGCGGUAAUACGUAGGUCCCGAGCGUUGUCCGGAUUUAUUGGGCGUAAAGGGAGCGCAGGCGGUCAGGAAAGUCUGGAGUAAAAGGCUAUGGCUCAACCAUAGUGUGCUCUGGAAACUGUCUGACUUGAGUGCAGAAGGGGAGAGUGGAAUUCCAUGUGUAGCGGUGAAAUGCGUAGAUAUAUGGAGGAACACCAGUGGCGAAAGCGGCUCUCUGGUCUGUCACUGACGCUGAGGCUCGAAAGCGUGGGUAGCGAACAGGAUUAGAUACCCUGGUAGUCCACGCCGUAAACGAUGAGUGCUAGGUGUUAGGCCCUUUCCGGGGCUUAGUGCCGGAGCUAACGCAAUAAGCACUCCGCCUGGGGAGUACGACCGCAAGGUUGAAACUCAAAGGAAUUGACGGGGGCCCGCACAAGCG